rnacentral:lncRNA from 1 species
GGAGUGAAUGAUUUGAUUAGGGAUUCGGGUCGUUAUUAAUCAUUUGAUAUAGUAUUCAAUACGUAUGUAUAUACGUUUAUCCUUCACUUCAUUCUUUUUCUUUCUGAAGUUUCGAUGUAAAGAUUCCUCUACCAACACAUUUAACUCCAUUUGUUAGAAUAGCUUCCAUUGAGUCUCUGCACCUAUCCUUUUUUUCUGAACCUUUAUUUGUUUUCAGAAAAUAGGAUUUGGCUCAGGAUUGCCCAUUUUUGUUCAUUCCAGGGUUUCUCUGAAUUUGAAAGUGAUCACUUAGUAAGUUUCCAUACCAAGGCUCAAUCCAAUUAAGUCCGUAGCGUCUACCGAUUUCGCCAUAUCCCCCUUUCUUUUUGUUUUGAGAUUAGGAUCUCGUUGUGAUGUCAUUCCUUUUUCUUUUUCUUUCAUUUAUACUGGAACCAUUGAAUUCAUUAGAUACCGAUUCCUAUCUCGAAAACGUGUUUUCUCCUCUUUGAUUUUCUUAACUAUCUUCUAUAGGCGACCUUUUUUUAUCCAAUAAAAAAUGAUUUUAUCAUCUCGGAAUCCACAAUUCAAUAUAGAUGGAUCUAUACCCAAUCUAUAUGUCUCUCUUCUUGUUAUUUUGCCAUUCAAUUUGGAAUGCUUAAACGAUCAAUUCUUGUUUUUUAUCAUCACUUUUGCCUAUAAGCGGAGGAAUGUCUCAUUAAUUAUAACUAACCAUUCCAUUAAACAAUUUUGAAAUAACUAUAGAAUGAGAGAUAUAUAUGAUAUAGAAUCAAAUAUAGAACUGUAGUAAAAAAGAUUUCAAAUGCCAAAAAAAGAAAUGAAAAAGAAUAUUUACCAUUCAAAUUGAAAAUGAAAAGAAAAAGAAUAUUAACAAUGUUUGCAAUCACUAUUUAAUGAUAUUAGCAUUAGAAUUGUUAUUAGAAUUAUGAUAAAUCGAAAUUCUAGAUCGCUAUAGUAAUCCUUAUGCUCUAGAAUCUAGAAUAUUCAAUACAAUAUUGAAUAGUUAAUAAUUCCAAUUCUAUUAGUUUAGGCAAUUACUAUGCAUAUAAGAUUUCUGUGAUGUGGGCCUGCUUAGCUUAGAGGUUAAAGCAUCACAUUUGUAAUACGAUGGUCAUUGGUUCGAUUCCGAUAGCCGUCUUUUCCCUAUUCUUUGAUUUCAGAGAAACAUUAUCAAUCAUCUAAAAAAUGGAAUAAAAAGAAUAGGGAAAUAACGCCUUUCUCCUUUUCCAAAAGCUAUCAAUUUAUUAUAGGAACUUCCAAUUAUGUCAGGAAAGGAUUAUAUAUAUAAUAGAAGGGGUUCUGUAUAUUUAUCCAAUUCACCCCAUUCUUCUUUUCUUUAUAGUAUUUAUAUUAAAUAGUAAUAGUACAAGUACAUUAUUUCAAUAAACUUCGCUUCAUUUAGUUCAGUUUAGUUUUAGUUUAGGUUUAUUAUGUAAAAUAAAAUUCAAUAAAAAAUAAAUAGAAAUAAGAAUUAAUUCGAAAUACUAAAUAAGAAAUAAGAAUAAGGAGUCUUUAUGUCGUGUUACCGAGGACCUCGUUUCAAAAAAAAUACGACGCCUUGGGGCUUUACCAGGACUAACUAAUAAAAAGACUAGGACCGGAAAUGAUCUUAGAAACCAAUCGCGUUUUGGAAAAAAAAUCUCAAUAUCGUAUUCGUCUAGAAGAAAAACAAAAAUUGUGUUUUCAUUAUGGUCUUAUAGAAUGACAAUUACUUAACUACGUUCGUAUCGCCAGAAAAGCCAAGGGGUCAACAGGUCAAGUUUUACUACAAUUACUUGAAAUGCUCUUGGAUAACAUCCUUUUUCGAUUGGGUAUGGCUUCAACUAUUCCUGUAGCUCAUCAAUUAGUUAACCAUCGACAUAUUUUAGUUAAUGGUCGUAUAGUAGAUAUACCGAGUUAUCGCUGCAAACCCCAAGAUAGUAUUACGUCAAAGAAUGAACAAAAAUCCAGAGCUCUGAUUCAAAUUUCUCUAGAUUCAUCCCCUCAUGAGGAAUUACCAAAUCAUUUAACCCUUCACCCAUUCCAAUAUAAAGGAUUAGUCAAUAAAAUAAUAGAUAGUAAAUGGGUCGGUUUGAAAAUAAAUGAAUUGAUAGUCGUAGAAUAUUAUUCUCAUCAGACUUAAACCUCAGACUAAAACCAAGGGUUCGUAAAAUUUUCUUCCCUUUAGGCGAAGUAAAUUAACCCAAGGUUAAGUAAGAUAAAUCCGAGUUUGAUCUGGAUUUCCCCCAUUUUUGUAUCAUAGACCAAGGAUCUAUUUUCAUUCCUUGUUUUCAUUCCUUGUCUACUCUUUUCUUUCCAGUAUUUUGAUUAUGAUUAUUUUUUAGUAUUCUAUUUUACAUGUCAAAGUAAUUAGGAAUUGAGAAUCUAUAUCUUUAGAUCAAAGAAGGUUCUAGCUAUUGGAAUAAUGGUAUCCAUUGCUAUUUGAGCCCUUGUUGUUAGUAAAAUUGGUGAAUUAAAUGAAGGUGCGGAAAGAGAGGGAUUCGAAGCCUCGAUAAACAAAAGCCUGCAUAGCAGUUCCAAUGCUACGCCUUGAACCACUCAGCCAUCUCUCCUACAUAAUGAUUAUGACCCCAAAACCGAGUGCAUAGUGAGUCAGUCAUAACCCAUAUUCCAUUAUAAGACUAGGUACGGCCAAUCCAUUUUAACUUAAACUAAAAAAUUUUCAUCAAAGUCAAAGCAAAGAACGAUUUUUCUUUCCUUCAAGGCUCUGGGAUAAAGAUAGAAUUUUUCAUAAAAAUUGUUAAAACAAUUCAAUUCAUAUUUCCAAAAGCAACGUUCCCUUCUUUUUCUGAUAUUUUUAUAAUGGAUUAAUUCAAUGAAUUAGAACGAAUCAACUGAUUGAUGGUCUAUAUCUUUUAGACUAGAGUUAAUGGCUACUCUUAAAUCAUAAUUCUAAUUAUAUAGAUGUAGACUAUGAUUCCAUACCAGAAAAUUUCUCAAAUUCCUUUUCGGUUUUGGAGUUCUCAACAACAAAUACCAACCCCUCUAUUAGAAUAGAAAUUCAUAAACAAAUUGAGAUUUGAUUGUAUAGUGUAUACCCGUUAUGCACACAAAAUUGUCAGUUAUUCUAUUUUCAACCUCAGAUGCUAUGUUUCAAUUCUCAAUUUUAGUAUUAAGUGAAAGGUUACACCUAGAGGUUCUGUAUUACGGGUCAAUCCUACUCUACUAGAGCUAAUAGGCAGCAUAGGGGAAGAAGCGCUACACCUAGGAAUCAACAACACGAAAACUUUGUUCUAAGUCAUCCUAUCCCUUAGCGGGCUUGGGACUAAAAAAAUGGUUGGGACAACAAACAUCCAUCUUGUUUGUCCUUUGGAUACCCGUAUAACCAUCGAAGGCUAUUGAAGUGACUAAUUCUUGUAAAUUAGGAGGCGUUAAAAAAAAUAAAUUAUUGGAGUUAUCUUAUCAUUUGUAUCUAGUCCCAAUAGGCUUGAUGUUAAGAAAGAAUCUCUCGCAGGAAGGUUGGCUAGAGAUUUCUUGUAAAAAUGCUAGCCCUUCUGAGUUCAUAAUGAGAAUAUUUUCAUCAUUAAAUCUUUUUUUAUUCUAUAUAUUAUUCUCAUUAUGCACAUAAGGUAGGAGCCGUAUGAGGUGAAAUUCUCACGUACGGUUCUGGAACGGAGAUUCUUUCAAUUGAAUGACGACCGUAAUGGAUGUCGGCUCAAUCCGAAGGAAAUUACGCGGAAGCUUUGCAGAAUUAUUAUGAAGCUAUGCGACUAGAAAUUGAUCCCUAUGAUCGAAGUUAUAUCCUCUAUAAUAUGGGGCUUAUCCACACAAGUAAUGGAGAACAUACGAAAGCUUUGGAAUAUUAUUUUCGAGCACUAGAACGAAACCCAUUCUUACCACAAGCUUUUAAUAAUAUGGCCAUGAUCUGUCAUUAAGUGCGACUAUCUCUACUAUAGAAAGUAAAAAAAAUCUAGUAAAGUAACUAGUAGAACCAAAUAGGUUUUCUACAUAUGCAUCGUCUAAAACAAUGAUUUUUAUCAGCUGUAGCAAAGAAAGAAACUUUAUAGAAGUCAAAAUAGGAAAAAAUAAAAAUGCCUAGCAACUUUUGCUAUGGAUAUAAAGCUUUAAUUGAUAGAGAGAGAGGAAUCACCGUAAAGAUCAAUUAGCGAGGUUUUGGGCCGAUACAAUAAUAACUGUGUACUUAUCUCAUAAUGUGAGAUAAGAAUUAGGAAUUAACUUAUGUAAUAGAGUCGAUCCACUAAAGUCUUGAGCAGCGGUGUAGGAUCAGAUCCCAAAGAUAGUAAGUAUUUUCUUUCUUAUGAAAGAAAGUCUUUUUCAAAGAUUCUAUAUAAAUUUAUCUAUGAAACCGAGAUAGUUACCUUUCAGAAAAUUCUACCAGUAGUAGAAAUGCCUAUGCUUUAUUCUUCUGAAGGUGGGAAAAAAGAUAAAACUAAAUAAACGGAUUAUUCAUCCAAAUUUCAGUUUGAAACUCAUGUAAUUAACCUAUUUUUCUUUUGGUUAACCCUAAAACUGGGAUAGAUCCAUGAGAAAUCUGAUUAGAUAGAUAUGGUAUAGAUCAAAAUGGGACACCAAAAGAAUUGACUGCUGAGCCGUAUGAGGUAAGAAAUUCUCAAGUACGGUUCUAAGGGAAGGAAUUGAACUACCUAUUCCGGCCGGGGAGAACAGGCCAUUCAACAGGGAGAUUCUGAAAUUGCAGAGGCUUGGUUCGAUCAAGCCGCUGAGUAUUGGAAACAGGCUAUAGCGCUUACUCCCGGUAAUUAUAUUGAAGCGCAUAAUUGGUUGAAGAUCACGAGACGUUUCGAAUAAAAGAAGACCCCCUUUAUUUAUUAUCCUUUAUUUAGAAUUUAGAUAUUUGUUAUAAUUAAUUGUUUGUUGGACCCAUCAGAUCAGUUAACUAAAAAACGGAUCAUUCCUUUGCUUUUGGAAGACCCAAUCACAUAAUUUCAUUAUCUCCCUUCUAAGCCUUCUAUUUCACUUCUAUAUUCAUCUGCUAUUUUUUAGGAAUAAAAAAGACAGAUAGAGGACAAAAUAGACUUCUUUUUAUUCUAUUUAUUUAUUAUUUAUUUAUUUAUAUUAAUAUAUUAAAAUUAUUUAUUUAUAUUAAAAUUAAAAUAUAUUAAAAUUAAAAUUAAAAAAUAUUAAAAUGAAAAAAUUCAAUUAAACAAAAUUCUUAUUAGUUAUUAGUAUUAAAACUAAUAAAAGAAACCCUUGAAUCACUAAAUAUAUAUAUACCGGGGAUGUCUCUUAGUAAUGUCUAAUGGCUACUAGCGUGAUUUGGAAUAGAGUAAUUACAAUCUUCUAGGUAAAAAAUUAAAGAGCUCCAUCUAAUAACUUCUAUGAAUAUACACUAGGUUGCACAAAAAAGUCGUUUUUGGAUCAAUCCAAAGCCCAAAAAGGUUUUUAAAAGGUUAAAGGGUCCGUUGAGCGCCUCAAGGCUAUGUCAUAAUAGAUCUGAACACUUGCCCCGGAUCGACUUCUAGAUCAUAAUUGCUCUAGUAAAUAACUAAAGAAAAUAGAUAGAUGGGAGAUAGAAAAAUAGAAGAGAAACGAACUAAUUAUAGAAAUAUCUCUCUAUCUCUAAGGUUCACUAAUUAUUUGACUGUUGGCGGGUCUCUUUGUAUGUGUUGUCCGGAAAGAGGAGGACUCAAUGAUUAUUCGUUCGCCGGAACCAGAAGUUAAAAUUUUGGUAGAUAGGGAUCCCGUAAAAACUUCUUUCGAGGAAUGGGCCAGACCGGGUCAUUUCUCAAGAACAAUAGCUAAAGGGCCUGAUACUACCACUUGGAUCUGGAACCUACAUGCUGAUGCUCACGAUUUCGAUAGCCAUACCAGUGAUUUGGAGGAGAUCUCUCGAAAAGUAUUUAGUGCACAUUUCGGUCAACUCUCCAUCAUCUUUCUUUGGCUGAGCGGCAUGUAUUUCCACGGUGCUCGUUUUUCUAAUUAUGAAGCGUGGCUAAGUGAUCCAACUCACAUUGGGCCUAGUGCCCAGGUGGUUUGGCCAAUAGUGGGCCAAGAAAUAUUAAAUGGUGACGUAGGCGGGGGUUUCCGAGGAAUACAAAUAACCUCUGGUUUUUUUCAGAUUUGGCGAGCAUCUGGAAUAACUAGUGAAUUACAACUCUAUUGUACAGCAAUUGGGGCAUUGGUCUUUGCAGCGUUAAUGCUUUUUGCUGGUUGGUUUCAUUAUCAUAAAGCGGCGCCAAAAUUGGCUUGGUUUCAAGAUGUAGAAUCUAUGCUGAAUCACCAUUUGGCAGGGCUACUAGGACUUGGGUCUCUCUCUUGGGCGGGGCAUCAAGUACACGUAUCUUUACCGAUUAACCAAUUUCUAAACGCUGGAGUAGAUCCUAAAGAGAUACCACUUCCUCAUGAAUUUAUCUUGAAUCGAGAUCUUUUGGCUCAACUUUAUCCCAGUUUUGCCGAGGGAGCAACCCCAUUUUUCACCUUGAAUUGGUCAAAAUAUGCGGACUUUCUUACUUUUCGUGGAGGAUUAGAUCCAGUAACUGGGGGUCUGUGGCUGACUGAUAUUGCCCAUCACCAUUUAGCUAUUGCAAUUCUUUUCCUGAUAGCGGGUCACAUGUAUAAGACCAACUGGGGUAUUGGUCAUGGAACGGGUCACAUGAAUAAGACCAACAGGGGUAUUGGUCAUGGACUAAAAGAUAUUUUAGAAGCCCAUAAAGGUGCAUUUACAGGUCAGGGCCAUAAAGGCCUAUAUGAGAUCCUAACAACAUCAUGGCAUACUCAAUUAUCUCUUAACUUAGCUAUGUUAAGAUCUUUAACCAUUGUUGUAGCUCAUCAUAUGUAUUCCAUGCCCCCUUAUCCGUAUCUAGCUACUGACUAUGGUACACAACUGUCAUUGUUCACAUAUCACAUGUGGAAUGGUGGAUUUCUCAUAGUUGGUGCUGCCGCGCUUGCAGCCAUUUUUAUGGUAAGAGAUUAUGAUCCAACUACUCGGUACAAAGAUCUAUUAGAUCGUGUCCUUAGGCAUCAUGAUGCAAUCAUAUCUCAUCUUAACUAGGCAUGUAUAUUUCUAGGCUUUCACAGUUUUGGUUUGUAUAUUCAUAAUUAUACCAUAUGCGCUUUAGGGCAUCCUCAAGCUAUGUUUUCAGAUACCGCUAUACAAUUACAACCCGUUUUCGCUCAAUGGAUACAAAACACCUAUGCUUUAGCACCUGGUGCAACGGCUCCUGGUGCAACAACAAGCACCAAUUUAACUUAGGGGGUGGUGAUUUAGCGGCAGUGGGUGGAAAGGUGGCUUUGUUGCCAAUUCCAUUAGGGACCACCGAUUUCUUGGUACAUCACAUUUAUGCAUUUAUGAUUCAUGUCAUCGUAUUGAUACUCUUGAAAGGUUUUCUAUUUACUCGCAGUUCUCAUUUGAUACCAAGUAAGGCAAAUCUUGGUUUUUGUUUUCCUUGUGACGGACAUGGAAGAGGGGGUACACGCCAAGUAUCGGCCUGGGAUCAUGUCUUCUUAGGACUAUUCUGGAUGUACAAUUCAAUUUCGGUAGUAAUAUUCUAUUUCAGUUGGAAGAUGCAGUCAGAUGUUUGGGAU